CUACUGCUCUAAUAACACUGACCACCCCAAGGUAAGAGACUACUGCUAUAUAAUAACACUGACCACCCCAAGGUAAGAGACUACUGCUAUAUAAUAACACUGACCACCCCAAGGUAAGAGACUACUGCUCUAUAAUAACACUGACCACCCCAAGGUAAGAGACUACUGCUCUAUAAUAACACUGACCACCCCAAGGUAAGAGACUACUGAUCUAUAAUAACACUGACCACCCCAAGGUAAGAGACUACUGCUCUAUAAUAACACUGACCACCCCAAGGUAAGAGACUACUGCUCUAUAAUAACACUGACCACCCCAAGGUAAGAGACUACUGCUCUAUAAUAACACUGACCACCCCAAGGUAAGAGACUACUGA